rnacentral:misc_RNA from 1 species
CUGACACCCAGCGGGAGAAUGCUUCCCCAGCCCCUGGAACAACAGCAGAAGAGGCCAUGUCCCGAGGUCCACCUCCUGCUCCUGAGGGGGGCUCCCGGGAUGAACAGGAUGGAGCUUCAGCUGAGACAGAACCUUGGGCAGCUGCAGUCCCCCCAGAAUGGGUCCCUAUUAUCCAGCAGGACAUUCAGAGCCAGCGGAAGGUGAAACCGCAGCCCCCUCUGAGUGAUGCCUACCUCAGUGGUAUGCCUGCCAAGAGACGCAAGACGAUGCAGGGUGAGGGCCCCCAGCUGCUUCUCUCAGAGGCUGUGAGCCGGGCAGCUAAGGCAGCCGGAGCUCGGCCCCUGACGAGCCCCGAGAGCCUGAGCCGGGACCUGGAGGCACCAGAGGUUCAGGAGAGCUACAGGCAGCAGCUCCGGUCUGAUAUACAAAAACGACUGCAGGAAGACCCCAACUACAGUCCCCAGCGCUUCCCCAAUGCCCAGCGGGCCUUUGCUGAUGAUCCUUAGCUCUUUCUUUGCUCUAUGGCCCUUCCUCAUCAGGGGACCGUUUCCCCCCUCUUCCUUCACAGUAUUUAAGAAAUAAAAGUCGGAUUUUUCUGGCUGCUUUCUCUCUA